UACGUAGGGUGCAAGCGUUGUCCGGAAUUAUUGGGCGUAAAGAGCUCGUAGGCGGUCUGUUACGUCGGCUGUGAAAACCUGGGGCUCAACCCCGGGCCUGCAGCCGAUACGGGCGAGCUAGAAUUCGGUAGGGGAGACUGGAAUUCCUGGUGUAGCGGUGAAAUGCGCAGAUAUCAGGAGGAACACCGGUGGCGAAGGCGGGUCUCUGGGCCGAUAUUGACGCUGAGGAGCGAAAGCGUGGGGAGCGAACAGG
rnacentral:rRNA from 1 species